AAGGAAACACACACCGACUGUCAGAUUCAGCAUUACCGCUCUCCCAGUGUGUGUGUGUGUGUGUGUGUGUGUGUGUGUUGGACCGCCCCAGCUUGCACCGGGGGACACCGGCGUGACGUCAGCGACCACGCCCACCACGGGUUUCCUCAAACUGCCCAGAACCCUGCCUGUGUGGUGUAUAAACUGGUGUUCAGGGUGUUUUCCUGCUUCACACCACAGCUCCUGAGCUCCACACCUCAGAUACACAAACAGUGAUAGCUGAAGAUGAAGGAAUGUGUUGAGGAUUUGUUAAUAAAUCAUCUGAGUGUAAUAAGGUGUGAGAUCUGAUGUUAAAGCCAGGAAAGUAGUUAUAAACUGUUCCAAAUCAAUCUGCCUUGACUCGCCCCAAUCAUCACACCCUUCAGAAGUACAAAGUGUUUAUACACACACAAAGAUUGUACACACACACACACACACCAGAAUGUUAAUAAAGCUGUCAGUUUGAUGUUG